rnacentral:rRNA from 1 species
GACGAACGCUGGCGGCGUGCUUAACACAUGCAAGUCGAACGGAAAGGCCCUGCUUUUGUGGGGUGCUCGAGUGGCGAACGGGUGAGUAACACGUGAGUAACAUGCCCUUGACUUUGGGAUAACUUCAGGAAACUGGGGCUAAUACCGGAUAGGAGAUCCUGCUGCAUGGUGGGGGUUGGAAAGUUUCGGCGGUUGGGGCUGGACUCGCGGCUUAUCCGCUUGUUGGUGGGGUAGUGGCUUACCAAGGCUUUGACGGGUAGCCGGCCUGAGAGGGUGACCGGCCACAUUGCGACUGAGAGACGGCCCAGACUCCUACGGGAGGCAGCAGUGGGGAAUAUUGCACAAUGGGCGGAAGCCUGAUGCAGCAACGCCGCGUGCGUGAUGACGGCCUUCGGGUUGUAAACCGCUUUCGCCUGUGACGAAGCGUGAGUGACGGUAAUGGGUAAAGAAGCACCGGCUAACUACGUG